UACGUAGGGGGCGAGCGUUGUCCGGAUUUAUUGGGCGUAAAGAGCUCGUAGGCGGCUUGGCAAGUCGGGUGUGAAACCUCCAGGCUCAACCUGGAGACGCCACUCGAUACUGCCAUGGCUAGAGUCCGGUAGGGGACCACGGAACUUCCUGGUGUAGCGGUGAAAUGCGCAGAUAUCGGGAGGAACACCAGUAGCGAAGGCGGCACUCGUGGGCCGGUACUGGACGCUGAGGAGCGAAAGCGUGGGGAGCGAACAGG
rnacentral:rRNA from 1 species